CUACGGGACGCUCCAGCAGCGGAUCAUUUACAAUGCACGAAAGUGUGAUAAUGUGAGCCAAAGUGCUUUUCGUUUAGAAAAGCUUUUCUUCAUCGUAAAAACAUGGAGGAAUAAGGACUGGGAAAGACUGGUGCCAGCCGCCGCGGUAAUACCAGCAGUUCAAGUCGCAUCCCUUUUUAUUGGGUCUAAAACAUCCGUAGCUUGUUUAUUAAGUCUCUUGUGAAAUCCUGUGUCUCAAGCACAGGGCUUGCAGGAGAUACUGAUAAACUAGAGAUCGGUAGGCGUAAGGAGUACGCUGGAGGUAGCGGUAAAAUGCGUUAAUCUUCGGUGGACUAACAAUGAGCGAAGGCACCUUACGAGGACGAAUCUGACAGUGAGGGAUGAAGGCCAGGGGCGCAAAGGGGAUUAGAUACCCUCGUAGUC
rnacentral:rRNA from 1 species